rnacentral:rRNA from 1 species
CGAAGGGUGCAAGCGUUACUCGGAAUUACUGGGCGUAAAGCGUGCGUAGGUGGUCUGUUAAGUCUGAUGUGAAAGCCCUGGGCUCAACCUGGGAAUUGCAUUGGAUACUGGCAGGCUAGAGUGCGGUAGAGGGUAGUGGAAUUCCCGGUGUAGCAGUGAAAUGCGUAGAGAUCGGGAGGAACACCAGUGGCGAAGGCGACUACCUGGACCAGCACUGACACUGAGGCACGAAAGCGUGGGGAGCAAACAGGAUUAGAUACCCUGGUAGUCCACGCCCUAAACGAUGCGAACUGGAUGUUGGGAGCAACUAGGCUCUCAGUAUCGAAGCUAACGCGUUAAGUUCGCCGCCGUGGGGAGUACGGUCGCAAGACUAG